AGCGUAGGUGGUUAUUUAAGUCCGUUGUGAAAGCCCUGGGCUCAACCUGGGAACUGCAGUGGAUACUGGAUGACUAGAAUGUGGUAGAGGGUAGCGGAAUUCCUGGUGUAGCAGUGAAAUGCGUAGAGAUCAGGAGGAACAUCCAUGGCGAAGGCAGCUACCUGGACCAACAUUGACACUGAGGCACGAAAGCGUGGGGAGCAAACA
rnacentral:rRNA from 1 species